CCUACGGGAGGCAGCAGUGAGGAAUAUUGGUCAAUGGACGAGAGUCUGAACCAGCCAAGUAGCGUGAAGGAUGACUGCCCUAUGGGUUGUAAACUUCUUUUAUAUGGGAAUAAAAUGUUCCACGUGUGGGAUUUUGUAUGUACCAUAUGAAUAAGGAUCGGCUAACUCCGUGCCAGCAGCCGCGGUAAUACGGAGGAUCCGAGCGUUAUCCGGUUUUAUUGGGUUAAAAGGGAGCGUAGGUGGAAUGUUAAGUCAGUUGUGAAAGUUUGCGGCUAAACCGUAAAAUUGUAGUUGAAACUGGCAGUCUUGAGUAAAGUAGAGGUGGGCGGAAUUCGUGGUGUAGCGGUGAAAUGCUUAGAUAUCACGAAGAACCCCGAGUGCGAAGGCAGUUCACUGGACUGCAACUGACACUGAGGCUCGAAAGUGUGGGUAUCAAACAGGAUUAGAUACCCAGUAGUC
rnacentral:rRNA from 1 species